GUUCGGAUUGCAGCCUGCAACUCGGCUGCAUGAAGCUGGAAUCGCUAGUAAUCGCGGAUCAGAAUGCCGCGGUGAAUACGUUCCCGGGUCUUGUACACACCGCCCGUCACACCAUGGGAGCCGGGAAUGCCCGAAGUCAGUGGCCCAACCGCAGGGAGGGAGCUGCCGAAGGCAGGCCCGGUGACUGGGGUGAAGUCGUAACAAGGUAGC
rnacentral:rRNA from 1 species